GGAAAAUUUCACUGACCUCCCCUGAGGUUUCUGACACCGACAGAUACCUCCCCUGAGGUAUUUGAAAUAUCACUGCCCUCCCCUCCUUUGGCUGACAAUGCCAAAGGACCCCCUUCCCAUCAAUUUAACUCAGACGCCGUUAAGUUGAGCUGAAAGUUAAACCCGAAAAGACGAAAUUACCCUUAGGUAUUUAAAGUCACACUGGGAGAUUUUUUCUCUUCCAUUCGAUACGCUCUAACGCAGAGAGAGAGAGAGAGAGAGAGAGAGAGAGAGAGAGAGAGAGAAGAGAAGAAGAAGAAGAAGAAACGAUGAGGAACGAUGCCGAUCAAAUGACGUAAGAAGACGAUGACACAAUGAUGCUCCAACUCUCGAAGAACUCUUCAACGCUGCUUCUUUAAGCUAAUACAGGAAAAUCAAGUGCGUACAUCACAAACACAGUCUUCACAGUGUGUCACUCAAAGCCACCCAUCGGAGGGGUCUCUUUUCUAAAUGAUAUGAAGUUUAGGCCUUUUUUGUGAGCUGACUGGACAUAUUGAAGACUCACUUUCGGUAUAUGGUACUAUAGGGCUAAUGUGGUUGUAUAUUUAGAUACCACUUUUUUUGUAUAGUGCAGAUUACCAACAGUUUAAUGUGGCCUUGACUUGGAUACCACUUUUUUGUGUAGGGCAAAAUAGAUUCAAUACUUUUGUGAUCUUGUGUUGGAUGCAACUUUAUGUAUAGCCCUGGUAAUUAUGUGAUUUAGCCCUGUUAUGUAAUAUGGAUGACUUUAAACUUCAAACUUAUAUCUUUUGACUGCUAUUUGGAUAUAUGGAAUUUGCAUAUAAUGGCAAAGAAGUUUACAUUUCAUUAA